UGAGGAAUUUUCCGCAAUGAGCGAAAGCUUGACGGAGCAAUACCGCGUGAGGGAAGAAUGCUUGUGGGUUGUAAACCUCUUUUUUCGGAGAAGAAUUUAUGACGGUAUCCGAAGAAUAAGCAUCGGCUAACUCCGUGCCAGCAGCCGCGGUAAUACGGAGGAUGCAAGCGUUAUCCGGAAUUAUUGGGCGUAAAGCGUCUGCAGGUUGUGUAGUAAGUCUAUUGUUAAAUCUUAAGGCUCAACCUUAAAUCAGCGGUAGAAACUACUAUACUAGAGUAUAGUAAGGGUAAAGGGAAUUUUCAAUGUAGCGGUGAAAUGUGUAGAUAUUGAGAAGAACACCAGUGGCGAAAGCGCUUUACUAGACUAUUACUGACACUCAUAGACGAAAGCUAAGGGAGCAAAUGGGAUUAGAUACCCCCGUAGUCC
rnacentral:rRNA from 1 species